CAGCCGCCGCGGUAAUACGGAGGUAGCUAGCGUUGUUCGGAAUUACUGGGCGUAAAGCGCGCGUAGGCGGUUACUCAAGUCAGAGGUGAAAGCCCGGGGCUCAACCCCGGAACUGCCUUUGAAACUAGGUGACUAGAAUCUUGGAGAGGUCAGUGGAAUUCCGAGUGUAGAGGUGAAAUUCGUAGAUAUUCGGAAGAACACCAGUGGCGAAGGCGACUGACUGGACAAGUAUUGACGCUGAGGUGCGAAAGCGUGGGGAGCAAACAGGAUUAGAUACCCCCGUAGUCCCUGUCUCUUAUAC
rnacentral:rRNA from 1 species